AGCGAACGCUGGCGGCAGGCCUAACACAUGCAAGUCGAACGGACCUUUCGGGGUUAGUGGCGGACGGGUGAGUAACACGUGGGAACGUGCCUUUAGGUUCGGAAUAGCUCCUGGAAACGGGUGGUAAUGCCGAAUGUGCCCUUAGGGGGAAAGAUUUAUCGCCUUUAGAGCGGCCCGCGUCUGAUUAGCUAGUUGGUGAGGUAAUGGCUCACCAAGGCUACGAUCAGUUGCUGGUCUGAGAGGAUGACCAGCCACAUUGGGACUGAGACACGGCCCAAACUCCUACGGGAGGCAGCAGUGGGGAAUCUUGCGCAAUGGGCGAAAGGCUGACGCAGCCAUGCCGCGUGGAGGAUGAAGGUCUUAGGAUGGUAAAAUCCUUUCACCGGUGAAGAUAAUGACUGUAGCCGGAGAAGAAGCCCCGGCUAACUUCGUGCCAGCAGCCGCGGUAA
rnacentral:rRNA from 1 species